rnacentral:rRNA from 1 species
GUAGGGAAUAUUGGGCAAUGGUCGGAAGACUGACCCAGCCAUGCCGCGUGCAGGAAGACGGCCCUCUGGGUUGUAAACUGCUUUUAUCUGGGAAGAAAAAGGCCAUGCGUGGCAAAUUGCCGGUACCAGAUGAAUAAGCACCGGCUAACUCCGUGCCAACAGCCGCGGUAAUACGGAGGGUGCGAGCGUUGUCCGGAUUUAUUGGGUUUAAAGGGUGCGUAGGCGGCUGAUUAAGUCAGCGGUGAAAGACUUCGGCUUAACCGGAGCAGUGCCGUUGAUACUGGUUGGCUUGAGUGUCGGAGGGGUACAUGGAAUUGAUGGUGUAGCGGUGAAAUGCAUAGAUACCAUCAGGAACACCGAUAGCGAAGGCAUUGUACUGGCCGACAACUGACGCUGAUGCACGAAAGUGUGGGGAUCGAACAGGAUUAGAAACCCGGGUAGUCC